UACAGAGACUGCAAGCGUUAUUCGGAUUCACUGGGCGUAAAGGGCGCGUAGGCGGCUCAUGAAGGCUGUGGUGAAAGUCCGGGGCUCAACCUCGGAUCGGCCGUGGCGACUCGUGGGCUGGAGCACUGUAGAGGCGGGUGGAAUUCCGGGUGUAGCGGUGGAAUGCGUAGAGAUCCGGAAGAACACCGGUGGCGAAGGCGGUCUGCUGGGGUGAGGCUGACGCUGAUGCGCGACAGCGUGGGGAGCAAACAGG
rnacentral:rRNA from 1 species